UACAGGGGGUGCAAACGUUGCUCGGAAUUAUUGGGUGUAAAGCGCACGUAGGCGGUUCGUUAUGUCGGAUGUGAAAGCCCUUGGCUCAACUGAGGAAGUGCAUCCGAAACUGGCGAGCUAGAGUAUGUAAGAGGGUCGCGGAAUUCCCGGUGUAGAGGUGAAAUUCGUAGAUAUCGGGAGGAACACCGGUGGCGAAGGCGGCGACCUGGGACAAUACUGACGCUGAGGUGCGAAAGCGUGGGGAGCAAACAGG
rnacentral:rRNA from 1 species